UUAACGAUAACGCUACAGUUAACAGCUAACGAGUCAGAAGCCGACAUUUGCAUUUACAGUGAGUGCACUGAUAACGUUAUGUUCGUACGACUCAAAACUCUGCAACAGCUCAAACAUGUCACUGACGUUACCACUUAACGCUGCAAAGAGAUCUCUCCAUCGCAUUUAUUCCUUGGCAACAUGCUGCAACUCUCCCUAUGACAGCUGCAUCUUGUAUAGCAGCUCCUCCAACUUUUAGAAACACCAGCUAGCAGGGCUGUGUCUAGCCCAAAAAGGCUCCAACUUCUUCCUAAGAAGGGCAGCACUGUUGUUGCCAACUUGGCCUUUGUUUGUGGUGUGACUGAUUCACCUCUAGUCUCUAAUCUUAAUAUUAAAAAGGUUGAUGAUUGAUCAUAUAAUCAUUUUCAAAACAUUCAAAACUGUUACCGUUAUUUCUGUUUCAAAAGGCAGCAAUAAAUAACACAUUAAAAUAUAUUGUUCAUGUGAUUUCAUACAUUAGCAGUGAAAUUAAUUAAUGCAUAAUAAUCGUGAGACUGAUUAUUCUUCAGACCAUAAUCGUACCAACAAAAUCUAUAAUCGUUGCAUCCCUAG